CGGUAGCGUCUCCUUUCAGGCAGGAUAGACGAACGUCACCGAGCAGUGACUAAGUUUGUGGUCAAAGGCUUGCACCCAUUUGCCACAGCAGAUGCCCCCGAUUUCACUUUGUUUCUUCCAGAUUGAAGCCAGGUGAUUGGAUCCUGAUCAAGGUCCUCCAGAGAAAGAAUUGGAAUUCACCAAGGUGGGAAGGCCCCUAUCAGGUCUUACUCAGCACACCGACUGCCUGCAAAAUAGCAGAAAGACCAUCUUGGAUCCACCAAAGCCACUGCAAAAAAGACGGCAAUGCCCCGUGCCAAUUUCCCCCGAACAUAAGUUGGUCCAUCAGGACCAACCAAGACGCAAGAGGAGCACCGAUGACGUGCAACCUCAUGACCCCAUCUGGGGCAGUGAUGUGCCAGCGGAGUUCAAGUUGUGGACCACCGGACAGAAAGUCCUGCACUCACUUUUCCCAUGGAUCGGGAAUGGAAAAAACAUGCUAAGGAUCGAGACUCUUGACUACAGAUUUGGACUUUUCCUGAACAGCUCAACAUGGAUAAAACAAGGCUCAGAAUGAGGAAAUCGACGCGAUCAGAAUAGUGGUCAUGCAACACAGUCGCCCUGGACAUGAUUCUCGCUGAGAGAGGGGGCCUCUGUGUCUUAUUCAACACCACUUGCUGCACCUAGAUUCCAGAUAACGUGCAUUCCUUGACCAUGACCACCGCCCUGGAGAAGUUACGACAACUGAGUAAUGCACAGCAACAAGACUAUGUCAUGAACACAGAGGACUGGCUGACCUGGCUACUGAGUGGCGGCUGGACGACCCUCGUGAUCAAAGGACUUGUCUUGAUAGUUCUUCUUUUAUUGCUUUGCAUGUUCUCUACAUGCAUUCUACCCUGUAUCAGAUCAAUGAUUGGCAAGAUGGUACAGGCCACAGUAAUCACCUAUGUUGGACUGCCACAAGAAGAUGAACCGGACGAAGAAGAUUUAGUAUAGGAACACACACACUCACACAUACUGAAUGAUGCUACAAUUGAAAAUGUUAUAAGCAAGUGAUUGUUAGCUGAUAAUAAAGUAUGAUUGAAGUGGUGAAAUACAGUAACAACAGGGAGGAAUGUUAGGGAGUUUUUAUUGUUUUAUUUGCUUAUGCUUCAAAAGUUAUGUUAUACAUAUUUCACCAGACACAGUUUUCUGUAGAAACAGGAAGCUGACCCUGUGACACUGACAAGAGACCAGUACAGAAAUACAUAUCCGCAGAGGUUGACUUGCAUUAUAUUAUUCUUAGAAAUUGACCUGCAACACACAUACUCUGUGACACACACACACACACACACA
ensembl:lncRNA